UUCACGAAAUUUAUUAAACCCUAGAUCCUUCUGUGAGGUCAGAUCGUGUUUUACACCGUCGGUGUUUUGACUCGUUUCCCUCAACUCGAUCAUUGACGACUCUACGGAUUUGAGCUGCUGCAAUGAUACAAGCCUUCAACAGAAACAGAUUUAGUGAGAAGUCAAGAUCGGUUCAAUUGGGAUUCAAAUUAAUUUCAUCUUUAACUCAAGAAUUUGUUGCAUCUCUUGAUAUUUUUCAUUGUUCAACUUCAUCAAACGUCAUCAAAGGUUCUGCAGGUGAAUUGAUUAACGUUUUAGGAGGGAUAUUUUGGUUGUGCCUGCCAUUUUAUUUUGUUGUUUUAAUUGUGUUGUUCAAUAUGUGACGGAUGACGUUUUGCUAAGUUGCUACUCGUAUGAUUUGGUUGUUCUAUUUUAUUUUCAAGUAUGCUUUAAGAUGGAAAUGUUCAUGGAUGUUUCUAAAUAUUGCUAGUAUGAUUAAGAUUGUAUUUUGUUAUUGUGGAUUGUUGUAUAAGUU